rnacentral:rRNA from 1 species
UACGUAGGGUGCAAGCGUUGUCCGGAAUUAUUGGGCGUAAAGAGCUCGUAGGUGGCCUGUCGCGUCGGCUGUGAAAACUCGGGGCUCAACUCCGAGCUUGCAGUCGAUACGGGCAGGCUAGAGUUCGGCAGGGGAGACUGGAAUUCCUGGUGUAGCGGUGAAAUGCGCAGAUAUCAGGAGGAACACCGGUGGCGAAGGCGGGUCUCUGGGCCGAUACUGACGCUGAGACGCGAAAGCGUGGGGAGCAAACAGG